rnacentral:tmRNA from 1 species
GGGGCUGACUGGCUUUGACAGCGUGUAGAAGCGGUAGGUAAGCAUGCAGAGCUUUGGCGUUUAAGCUCUAUAAUCGCAAAAGCGUCGACCUAUAAUUGGCGAAAAUAACAAUUACGCUCUCGCUGCGUGAUCCGAAGUAUAGUAAGAUCCCUUAAUUCCCUGCACAGUGUAGGGAACGAGACAUCUCCCCAUUGCCCCGUUCCGAGACGUUUGGACAAGGAGGUGCAGAGAAAUUCGGAAAUAGGAGAGACGGAGUUCUGACGUCGCUCCGAGAUUUAAGGACUAAGGGCAAAGUUGGCUGUCGUGGGCCUGCCUUACCUCGAAAACCAAUCCACAGACUAAGCAUGUAGAAAGCCCAUUGGUUCCACGUUUGGACGAGGGUUCAAUCCCCUCCAGCUCCACUA